CUGCGCUUUACUAGCGCGGCGACCAAACCUUACACACAGUGCUUAGUUUUUUCUAACAUUGCUUUGGUCUUCUCUCCGGGGAGGGCCAGAGGUUAUAAAACCCUGAUUUUUAUUAAUCUUUUAUUCUAAACAUUAGUCAAGAAGUUUUUAUUAAACAAAUCUUCAAAACUUUCAACAACGGAUCUCUUGGUUCUCGCAACGAUGAAGAACGCAGCGAAAUGCGAUACGUAAUGUGAAUUGCAGGUUUUCGUGAAUCAUCGAAUCUUUGAACGCAUAUUGCGCCCUCUGGUAUUCCGGAGGGCAUGCCUGUUUGAGCGUCAUUUCUCUCUCAAACCCUCGGGUUUGGUAUUGAGUGAUACUCAGCUUCUGGGUUAACUUGAAAUACUUGUGGCAAGAGCUGCUUGUGCAGAUCUCCUCUGAACUAACGUUUCUAGGUUCUACCAAAUUCGUUAAGUGACGGGCGACGGACGUACUUGCUUUUUUAGGCUCGGCCUUUACAAUAUCUUCUAAAAGUUUGACCUCAAAUCAGGUAGGAAUACCCGC
rnacentral:rRNA from 1 species